AGUGGGUUGCCAUUUCCUUCUCCAGGGGAUCUUCCCAACCCAGGGAUCCAACCUGCAUCUCCUGUGUCUCCUGCAUUGGCAGGCAGGUUCUUCACCACAGCGCCACCUGGGAAGCCCACACUAUCAUAGUUUCUCCAUACAUAGUAUCUUUUAGUCAGGUUUUAGUCUGCUAAAUUUUAAAAUAAAAUCAUAUUUUAGUCAGGUUUUAGUCUGCUAAAUUUUAAAAUAAAAUCAUAUUUUAGUCAGGUUUUCUGUCCCAGAUACUUUCCCUAUCCCCCAUAUGCAUAGUUAGUCCUAUAACUUAAGCCCCGUUCUCCUUUCUUAGUGGUUACUUUGCCCCCAUGUGCAGCAGUGAGAUAAGAAAGGUUGGUCUGUCCUCUUGGUGAAACCCAACAGGACUGCCCUAUCACUAAAGGUACAGCCCUGUGAGGAGGACUUCCCAGAUUCUGUAUAGAAUCUGAUGGAAGAGAGAAAUUCAUGUAGAAUCCACAAUCCUUCAUUGUGGAAGGAGGCGUAGGGGGAAUUGAACUUAAAUCUUGAUUUGCAUUGAUCUUUGGUGCGGUCCUUACUCUUCUGAGCUGUGGUCCUCAUUUUAAUUGUAAAAUGAAGCUGUUGCCACCCUUCAGGACUGUGAGGAUUAAAUGGGGAAAUAGGCCAUGCCAGCAUGUGGUGGUGGCGUUCAGUCUCUCAGUGGUGUAUGAUUCUUUGCAACCCCAGGGAUGGUAGCCCCUCAGGCUCCUCUGUCCGUGGAAUUUUCCAAGCAAGAAUACUGCAAUGGGUUGCCAUUUCCUCCUCCAGGGGAUCUUCCCCACCCAGGGGUCAAACCUACGUCUCCUGCAUUGCAGGUGGAUUCUUUACCACUGAGCCACCAGGGAAGCCCACCAGCGUGUAGUAGUUGUUGACAGAUGUUUGUUUCCGAGGACUUCCCCCUCCUCUUGAAGUUACGGGGUUUUCAGUAACUUGGGAUAGUGUAACUACUGUGUUGCUGCUGCGUUGAAGGAUUGUUUAUUACUGAGAAAGUCUUGGUAAAGAAGGAGUUGAAAGUCUUUUUUGGGUGCCUAUGAUCCUGUGCAGUGGAUUUGUAUGGAGGGAGGGGUAUACAAGUGAAUUUGAAACUGUCAGUCCACGUGCAUUUGAAUUUCAAAGGGUUAUUCUUGCUUUAAUAAAGUCAUCAAGUUGGCAUUUAAAGAAGGCUGAACAGAAUUUGCUAUGUUGAUAUCAGAGUUUUCUAGCUCCCUUGCUCCCGCCCUGAAGGAGCUGUGUUUCGAGCAGUGGGUGAACAGUGGGUCUUCAUGUGCGCCUCCCUGAGGCUGGCCGGAGGUUGACUGCUGCUCUAGGGAGGGAGCAUCUGUUCGCAGGAGGGCUUCCUUCACCCCGGAAGUGACACAAGGAGAUCAGGGUCUUCCUGAACAAACCAGUUUCCUCCCAUACAGAACUUCUUAUGAGUGAUUUUGGGAUUUGUGUUCAGAAGCAUAGAGCAGUCUUUGACCCCUGUCACAAGUGGCAGGAUUUGUCUGUUGAGGAUGAGCUUACUUUUUAGAAACAGAAUUCACUAGGGAGUCAAGACUGGUGAGAGCUGAUAUCUAAGAGUGAAAACCAAAGCAGAGCAUGUCUCCUAGCCUGCUCUUCUAAGAUUAUUUGUGUGGUCUUGGGAUAACUCAGAAGAGCCUUGAUAGAAUGAAUUGGAUCUGACUGGUGACCAAGCGGCUAGUGACAGACUAUCAUUAGUUGUGGGUUUGCUUGAAGACAGGCCCACUACCCACUCAGAUAUGAAUCUGUUUGGAUUGGAGGGAGUGCAGCUCUGCUGGUUACAAGAGACCCUGAGAAAACCAGGAGGCAGGGCUGCUGGCUCAGGUGAACUUGUGGUGCUGAGCUCCCAAAAGCCUUGUGCUGACACGGGAAGGGUCCCUUCUGUUCUGCAGGUCAGAGCCCCAGGUCUCUCAAUGCCAGAGCCAAAGGAGAAGGGUGGGUGACAUCAAGGGGCAGGCAUGGGUACCACGUUUGUUUGUUUGUUUUUUGCAUUAACCUCGUUCCUUAUGAUCUUCCUCUGGGUGGCUAAGAACAGCUGGGGGAUGGUGUGGAAAGGAUGGAUUUCCUGCAGAAUUAUGUGCACCCUCAGAUAAGAGCUCUGCUGGGGUGGGGAAGGAGUUGAUGUGUUGAGACUAUAUGACAGGGUGGAGGGUGGCCAGUGAUAACUGGAGUGACAACUAAGGGCCAGGGAGGAAGAGCCAAAUGUGGCGUGGCAGGCAGAGGAGUUGACAGGGAUGGCUGAAAAUUCAGAGCACCUUCUGAGACCAUUCAUCCAGCUUGGCCUUGCUGUGGGUGAAACCACUGUGGUCACUGGCAUUUGGGCCCCCAUGACCUCCGCCAGGACCUGUGCUCCUGUUGCAUCAUGUGGCAGUAAGGACAUUACAAAUGAAAUUAAGGAUUUACUUAUCAGUUGACUUUAAAAUGAGAUUAUCCUGGAUUUUCCAGAGGGCUCAAGGUAAUCAGGGGAGCCUGAGGCAGAGGAUGAGAUGGUUGGAUGGCAUCACUGACUCAAUGGACAUGAGUUUGAGUAAAUUCUGGGAGUUGGUGAUAGAUAGGCCUGGCGUGCUGCAGUCGUUGGGGUUGCAAAGAGUCAGACACGACUGAGUGACUGAACUGAACUGAACUGAGGCAGAAGUCAGGUCCCAAGUGUGAGAAGAUAUUGUUGCUCUCCUGAUGAAGACGGCUGUGUGGAAAUGGGAGAAGAAACUGAAUUCUGGAAGCCAAGUUUUCUCAGUCCUCCAGAAGAGAGUUCAGCCCAGCCCACAUUGUGCCUGCAGCCCUGUGAGCCCCCAAGACUGCUGACCACAGAAAUGGAGACGGUAAAUAAAUGAGUAUUAUCUGAAGCCA